UACAUGCAAGUCGAACGCGCAGCGAAAGGUGCUUGCACCUUUCAAGCGAGUGGCGAACGGGUGAGUAACACGUGGAUAACCUGCCUCAAGGCUGGGGAUAACAUUUGGAAACAGAUGCUAAUACCGAAUAAAACUUAGUAUCGCAUGAUACAAAGUUGAAAGGCGCUACGGCGUCACCUAGAGAUGGGUCCGCGGUGCAUUAGUUAGUUGGUGGGGUAAAGGCCUACCAAGACAAUGAUGCAUAGCCGAGUUGAGAGACUGAUCGGCCACAUUGGGACUGAGACACGGCCCAAACUCCUACGGGAGGCUGCAGUAGGGAAUCUUCCACAAUGGGCGAAAGCCUGAUGGAGCAACGCCGCGUGUGUGAUGAAGGCUUUAGGGUCGUAAAGCACUGUUGUAUGGGAAGAAAUGCUAGAAUAGGGAAUGAUUCUAGUUCGACGGUACCAUACCAGAAAGGGACGGCUAAAUACGUGCCAGCAGCCGCGGUAAUACGUAUGUCCCGAGCGUUAUCCGGAUUUAUUGGGCGUAAAGCGAGCGCAGACGGUUGAUUAAGUCUGAUGUGAAAGCCCGGAGCUCAACUCCGGAAUGGCAUUGGAAACUGGUUAACUUGAGUGUUGUAGAGGUAAGUGGAACUCCAUGUGUAGCGGUGGAAUGCGUAGAUAUAUGGAAGAACACCAGUGGCGAAGGCGGCUUACUGGACAACAACUGACGU
rnacentral:rRNA from 1 species